GACGAACGCUGGCGGCGUGCUUAACACAUGCAAGUCGAACGAAGUGGCGAACGGGUGAGUAACGCGUAAUCAACCUGCCCUUCAGCGGGGGACAACAGUUGGACACGACUGCUAAUACCGCAUACUGAAGGUGGGGAUUGCGUCUGAUUGGCUAGUUGGAGGGGUAACGGCCCACCAAGGCGAUGAUCAGUAGCCGGUCUUGGAGGAUGAACGGCCACAAUGGGACUGGGACACGGCCCAGACUCCUACGGGAGGCAGCAGGGGGGAAUCUUCCGGAAUGGACGAAAGUCUGGAGGAGCAACGCCGCGGGAGUGAUGACGGCCUUCGGGUUGUAAAGCUCUGUUAAUCGGGACGCGGUACCGGAAUAGAAAGCCACGGCUAACUACGUGCCAGCAGCCGCGGUAAUUC
rnacentral:rRNA from 1 species